AAAGGAAUAGACGGGGGCCCGCACAAGCGGUGGAGCAUGUGGUUUAAUUCGAGGCAACGCGAAGAACCUUACCAAGGCUUGACAUGGAGUCGACCGGUACAGAGAUGUACCUUCUUUUCGGAGCGGCUCACACAGGUGGUGCAUGGUUGUCGUCAGCUCGUGUCGUGAGAUGUUGGGUUAAGUCCCGCAACGAGCGCAACCCUUGCGUCCAGUUGCCAGCGGCUAGGCCGGGCACACUGGAGGGACUGCCGUGGACAACACGGAGGAAGGUGGGGAUGAGGUCAAAUCAUCAUGCCCCUUAUGUCUUGGGCCACACACGUGCUACAAUGGGGCUGACAACGUGGUGCGAAGCGGCGACGCGGAGCGAAACACGAAAAGGCCCCUCAGUUCGGAUUGCAGGCUGCAACCCGCCUGCAUGAAGUUGGAAUCGCUAGUAAUCGCGGAUCAGCACGCCGCGGUGAAUACGUUCCCGGGCCUUGUACACACCGCCCGU
rnacentral:rRNA from 1 species